GAUGAACGCUGGCGGCGUGCCUAAUACAUGCAAGUCGAGCGAACGGACGAGAAGCUUGCUUCUCUGAUGUUAGCGGCGGACGGGUGAGUAACACGUGGAUAACCUACCUAUAAGACUGGGAUAACUUCGGGAAACCGGAGCUAAUACCGGAUAAUAUUUUGAACCGCAUGGUUCAAAAGUGAAAGACGGUCUUGCUGUCACUUAUAGAUGGAUCCGCGCUGCAUUAGCUAGUUGGUAAGGUAACGGCUUACCAAGGCAACGAUGCAUAGCCGACCUGAGAGGGUGAUCGGCCACACUGGAACUGAGACACGGUCCAGACUCCUACGGGAGGCAGCAGUAGGGAAUCUUCCGCAAGGGGCGAAAGCCUGACGGAGCAACGCCGCGUGAGUGAUGAAGGUCUUCGGAUCGUAAAACUCUGUUAUUAGGGAAGAAAAUAUGUGUAAGUAACUGUGCACAUCUUGACGGUACCUAAUCAGAAAGCCACGGCUAACUACG
rnacentral:rRNA from 1 species